GACGAACGCUGGCGGCGUGCUUAACACAUGCAAGUCGAACGGAAAGGCCCUGCUUUUGUGGGGUGCUCGAGUGGCGAACGGGUGAGUAACACGUGAGUAACCUGCCCUUGACUUUGGGAUAACUUCAGGAAACUGGGGCUAAUACCGGAUAGGAGCUCCUACUGCAUGGUGGGGGUUGGAAAGUUUCGGCGGCUGGGGAUGGACUCGCGGCUUAUCAGCUUGUUGGUGGGGUAGUGGCUUACCAAGGCUUUGACGGGUAGCCGGCCUGAGAGGGUGACCGGCCACAUUGGGACUGAGAUACGGCCCAGACUCCUACGGGAGGCAGCAGUGGGGAAUAUUGCACAAUGGGCGGAAGCCUGAUGCAGCAACGCCGCGUGCGGGAUGACGGCCUUCGGGUUGUAAACCGCUUUCGCCUGUGACGAAGCGUGAGUGACGGUAAUGGGUAAAGAAGCACCGGCUAACUACGUG
rnacentral:rRNA from 1 species